UAGCUCAGUUGAUAGAGCAUGGUGCUUGUAACGCCAAGGUUGUGGAGUUCAAAUCCCAC
rnacentral:tRNA from 1 species